rnacentral:rRNA from 1 species
UGCGACGUCGCGUGGAGGAUGAAGGCCUUCGGGUUGUAAACUCCUUUUAUGGUUGAACAAGCUCUGAGUGUAAAUCAUGAAUAAGGUGCUUCUAACUACGUGCCAGAAGAAUCGGUGAUACGUAGGCACCAAGCGCUAUCCGGAAUUACUGGGCGUAAAGAGAUGCGUAGGCGUUUCGAUAAGUCCUUUGUUAAAUACUUUGGCUCAACCAAAGUGCUGCUGAGGAAACUAUCGGAAUUGAGAAAUUCAGAGGAAAGGGGAAUUCCUGGUGGAGCGGUGAAAUGUGUUGAUAUCAGGAGGAACACCAAAGGCGAAGGCACCUUUCUAGGAAUUUUCUGACGCUAAGGCUCGAAAGCUAGGGUAGCAAAACGGAUUAGAUACCCGUGUAGUCCUAGCCGUAAACGAUCCCUGUUAGAUGUUUGGUUGAAUUAUGAUUCUCCUUAGGGAGUUGAUUAAUCAAUUGGGCGUUGUAGUUAACGCGUUAAACAGGGCGCCUGGGGAGUACGGUCGCAAGACUAAAACUCAAAGGAAUUGACGGGGACCCGCACAAGCAGUGGAGCGUUUGGUUUAAUUCGAUGCUAAGCGAAGAACCUUACCAGGGUUUGAACUGUAGCUGCAAGCUCCGAGAAACCGGAGAAGCCUUCGAGGGUGCUAACAGAGGUGCUGCAUGGCUGUCGUCAGCUCGUGUCGUGAGAUGUUGGGUUAAGUCCCACAACGAGCGCAACCCCUAUCCUGUGUUACAAUUUCUCAGGAAACUGCCCUGCCAAAACGGGGAGGAAGGUGGGGACGACGUCUAGUCAUCAUAGCCCUUAUGUCCUGGGCGACACAAGCGCUACAAUGGAAGAUAUAAUGGGUUGCCAAGCUGCGAAGUGGAGCUAAUCCCAAAAACCUUUCUCAGUUCAGAUUGCAGGCUGAAAUUCGCCUGCAUGAAGU